GAGGCCAUGGGGUCGCUACGCCGCCGAGAUUAGGGAUCCCACCAAGAAGAGCCGUGUCUGGCUGGGAACCUUCGACACGGCGGAGGAGGCCGCCCAAGCCUACGACGCCGCCGCCCGGGAGUUCCGGGGCUCCAAGGCCAAAACCAACUUCCCUCUCCCCAACGAAGUCCUCCCCUUCCCCAACACCGACAACCUCACCCGCAGCCCCAGCCCCAGCAGCACCGUCGAGUCCUCCAGCCCCCACGCGCCUCUCGAGCUCGACCUCACGCGCCGCCUAGGAAGCAGCGACGGUGGCUUUCCGUUCCAUUACCAGCCGCACGUUGUGAAUUCCGCUGCUGUGGCAGGCGUUUGGCCUCACGCGCGGCCAGUUUUGUUUUUGGAUGCGUUUGUCGGGGCGGAGGGGUUCCGAGUCAACCCGGUUACAGUCGCCUACGAUGGCGGGUUUGGGAGCCCGGUUCAGAGCGAGUCGGACUCGUCUUCUGUGGUGGACUCGGUCCAGCAUGAGAGCAGUGGGGCAACGAGGGUUCUGGGUCUGGAUCUUAACUUCCCUCCACCCCUGG
rnacentral:lncRNA from 1 species